UGGAUAAAUCCCUUUUCAGAUUUCCUCUCCUCUCUCUAUUCAUCAUCUUCCUCACCGGCCAGGCCAAGGUCCUCCAGACCCCCCUCCACCAGCCCCGCCCUGCCGGAGCUCAUCUUGCCCGAUCCCCCACUCCUCCUCCAUCCUCCAGCUCCCGUAUGAGCUCCUCUGUACCCGCCGAUGGCACAUAUCAGCCACAGGUCACGCAUGUCCCCGAUCCACUGCCUCCCUCGCCGUCCUUCGUCUGCUCCCGCUCGCCGGCCGUCAUCUUUCUGGCACGUCCACGCGGCUGCUGCACCUUCAGGCACGCCGCCGCCGACACAAGGAGGAGGCCUCCCCGUUGCUCUCCCUGGACGGCAUCGACCAUGCUGCAGGGACGACGUGUUGCUGCUGCUACUCACCGACGCUCAGCCUCCACCGCAGCAUGUCAGUGAGCACUCUGGCUGCUGCCGGUUCCCCUCCAAGCACGAGGCGUGGCGCUUGCGCGGAGACAAGGCCGAUGAUUAAGAUUCUAACAUUUGACAGAUCAACGUUGGAGCUGCAGGUUAGGUUCAGGACCUGGUACUAGCAGAUGGACGGCAGGGCAAGGAUGAGCGGCGGUGGGUUCAGGUGGAGAACGUUCUGGAUGGGCGACGUCAUGAGUUUCCGACUCGAAAAGAAUCAUGGAACGGCCGGCGCCAUCGACCGCGGCCAAAUCAGCGUGCAGCCUUCAAAUGAUAUGGUUGCUUGGAUGUGUGAAAUUCGUCUCGGCAAUGGAAAUACGGUCAUGCAUUGGAUAAGGAGGUAAUGGACUAUCUGUAAGAGUAUGCACAUCAGAGCAUAUCAUGGUUGCAGCCUUGCAGGUACAUUCAGUAACUUAGACAUGGCUUCAGGUCCUGCCUUGCAGGUUCCUAUCUGAAAGACAGUGUUUCGUCAAGAAAGUUAGGCUACGCGCAAUCCCUUUGGUUCUUUAAUGCUAGCCCCUGGGAGUGGAAUCCACAGUAUAUUGAUAAUAGGCAAGCAAAGAGAGGAAGAUCCAAAACACAUGUUGCCUUAGCCUCGCAGGCUUGCAAGCUACUUUUCUGAUCCUCGCUGGGAAUUAAGUGGAUAACAAUGACAGAUCACCAGAAAAUGAAUUAGCUCUUUCAACUUUCAGGUUUGGAAUUCACCAUUGCCACUGAAGUGGCUGCUAUUGAAGUUCUACUACCUUCACAGUAAAGUAAGACCCUGCAAAAUCAUGAAAAUGACAGAAAUCUGAUGAGAAUUAUUUCAAGGUAUAUCCCCCCUUUUGCCAUAUUUUCUUGACACUGGUAAUCCAUGUUAGAGGUUAAUGGUAGUUUUCCCAAUGAAGGGGAAUUUGCAAUGAAUGCAAAUGCUGGUAAAAUUAGGCAGCCAGUAUAAUUGUAUAAUUCAUGAUCAGUUUAAAUUUUAACUUGUGUGUUGUUGCCUGUGGAGGUCUAUUACUUCUUUUGGCCUCGACCGUCAUUUUCUUGACACUGGUAAUCCAUCAUGUUAGAGGUUAAUGGUAGUUUUCCCAAUGAAGGGGAAUUUGCAAUGAAUCCAAAUGCUGGUAAAAUUAGGCAGCCAGUGCAAAUUGUGUAAUUCAUGAUCAGUUUAAAUUUUAACUUGUGUGUUGUUGCCUGUGGAGAUCUAUUACUUCUUUUGGCCUCGACCGUAUCUUCCAAACUUACAGAAUUAUAAGCUACCAUGUGCUCAAAAUUUCACAAUACUGAGUUUGGUAAGUAGUAUUUGUUCUAGAAGAAUCAUACAUAUAUCAGAUGUAAAAAUAGAAAGUAUUUCGAAACAUAAAUACAUGUACAAUCUCUUGAAGUACUCCGGUAUGUGAAUGAUAUAAUACUGUUGAAAGUGAAAUGUGUUAGAGAGGAGCGAAUAAUUAACUGUGUGGUUCCGAUGAUCUGUUAAUAGAAGAAUCCGGAUGACACCAGCCAGGGCCCUCGAAAAGCAAUCCCUGGAUAGAAGACCAUUUAGCCACACUAUCUGUUGGUCCUGCAGGUACAGCCGACGGCAUCAUCAUUCUCUCCUCUGACAAAGACAACGCUGGCGAUACUUCACCGUGCAAGGGGAAGGAAUUAUCAGAGCACAUACCUACUGCCUAGGCAAGGUGGUCUACACUACUGUUCAAAUUCAAUUUUCUGCAUGUGUAUUUUGGUCUAUCGUCAGUUAUGUGGUUAGUGUUCUGCAUCCUAUUAGUGUCCAUCGCUCAACUAGCUAUGUAAUGGAAUCUAAAGUAAUAUGAGCAGUGAUGUUUCCUAUUCCAUGGAUAUUAGUGUGUUCACUUAUGAA